UNUGACUUGAGUGCAGAAGGGGAGAGUGGAAUUCCAUGUGUAGCGGUGAAAUGCGUAGAUAUAUGGAGGAACACCAGUGGCGAAAGCGGCUCUCUGGUCUGUCACUGACGCUGAGGCUCGAAAGCGUGGGUAGCGAACAGGAUUAGAUACCCUGGUAGUCCACGCCGUAAACGAUGAGUGCUAGGUGUUAGGCCCUUUCCGGGGCUUAGUGCCGGAGCUAACGCAAUAAGCACUCCGCCUGGGGAGUACGACCGCAAGGUUGAAACUCAAAGGAAUUGACGGGGGCCCGCACAAGCGGUGGAGCAUGUGGUUUAAUUCGAAGCAACGCGAAGAACCUUACCAGGUCUUGACAUCCCGAUGCUAUUCUUAGAGAUAGGAAGUUACUUCGGUACAUCGGAGACAGGUGGUGCAUGGUUGUCGUCAGCUCGUGUCGUGAGAUGUUGGGUUAAGUCCCGCAACGAGCGCAACCCUUAUUGUUAGUUGCCAUCAUUAAGUUGGGCACUCUAGCGAGACUGCCGGUAAUAAACCGGAGGAAGGUGGGGAUGACGUCAAAUCAUCAUGCCCCUUAUGACCUGGGCUACACACGUGCUACAAUGGUCGGUACAACGAGUUGCGAGCCGGUGACGGCAAGCUAAUCUCUGAAAGCCGAUCUCAGUUCGGAUUGGAGGCUGCAACUCGCCUCCAUGAAGUCGGAAUCGCUAGUAAUCGCGGAUCAGCACGCCGCGGUGAAUACGUUCCCGGGCCUUGUACACACCGCCCGUCACACCACGAGAGUUUGUAACACCCGAAGUCGGUGAGGUAACCUUUUAGG
rnacentral:rRNA from 1 species